GACUAUCUAGUAUAAAUAGUACAAUUGACUUCCAAUCAAUCAGUCUGGUAUCUCCAGGACAGUCA
rnacentral:tRNA from 1 species